GACAGAGGUGCCGAGCGUUAGGCGGAAUCACUGGGCUUAAAGCGUGUGUAGGCGGAUCUGUAAGUACCUUGUGAAAUCCCACGGCUCAACCGUGGAACUGCUUGGUAUACUGCGGGUCUUGAGCUAUCUAGGGGCAACUGGAACAAACGGUGGAGCGGUGAAAUGCGUAGAUAUCGUUUGGAACGCCAAUGGUGAAAACAGGUUGCUGGGGAUAUGCUGACGCUGAGACACGAAAGCCAGGGGAGCGAACGGG
rnacentral:rRNA from 1 species